CAGGUAUUAAGAAUAAGACAGGGGUGAAGGGACCGCCAGCAUCCAUGGAGAAGUCAGAGUCACCCCUGGCCACAGGAGGUACUGGGGAUGCAAAGGUUUCUAUGAGUAUAGAACACAAUUGUCCCUGAAGCAGGCAGGCAGGCAGGCAGGCUGCUGUAUACAUCUCUGCCUCCCAACACCCACUGGUAAUUGUUGCCCAUUCUAACUCCACACCCUCUCUCCUGGAAGAAAAUGGAGAGAUUUCUCAUCCUGCUCUUGCUGAGAACACUUCCUGGUAGAGGAGUUUCUGCACCUGCUCAAAUUGUUCUUCACGGCUGCAGCUGCAACCAAUUCAGGGUGACAGCAUUCGAGUUCAUGGCCUGGAUGGAAGAUGUGACUAUGAAGUAGAAAUGAAACAAGAUCCAGGGCAGGAGGCAGCAGAGUCCAUCAAAUAUUAAUUGUUCAUCUCCUUUGAAAGUUUUGGAGCAAAUAAAGGCCAGAAUUUUCAUCUCA